rnacentral:rRNA from 1 species
GACGAACGCUGGCGGCGUGCUUAACACAUGCAAGUCGAACGGGCCUUGUCCCCUUUUUUUUUGGGGGUGGGGUUAGUGGCGAACGGGUGAGUAACACGUGAGUAACCUGCCCCUCACUUCUGGAUAACCGCUUGAAAGGGUGGCUAAUACGGGGUGUUCUGGCCUGCUCGCAUGGGUGGGUUUGGAAAGAUUCGACCGGUUUUGGUUGGUUUGGUGGGGGAUGGGCUCGCGGCCUAUCAGCUUGUUGGUGGGGUGAUGGCCUGCCAAGGCUUUGACGGGUAGCCGGCCUGAGAGGGUGGGCGGUCACACUGGGACUGAGACACGGCCCAGACUCCUACGGGAGGCAGCAGUGGGGAAUAUUGCACAAUGGGCGCAAGCCUGAUGCAGCGACGCCGCGUGAGGGAUGGAGGCCUUCGGGUUGUGAACCUCUUUCGCCAGUGAAGAAGGUCCUGCUCUUUGUGGUGGGGUUGACGGUAGCUGGGUUAAUGAAGCGCCGGCUAACUACGUG